UUCGGAUCGUAAAGCUCUGUUGUUAGGGAAGAAGAAGUGCCGUUCGAACAGGGCGGCGCGGUGACGGUACCUAACGAGAAAGCCCCGGCUAACUACGUGCCAGCAGCCGCGGUAAUACGUAGGGGGCGAGCGUUGUCCGGAAUUAUUGGGCGUAAAGCGCGCGCAGGCGGUCCCUUAAGUCUGAUGUGAAAGCCCACGGCUUAACCGUGGAGGGUCAUUGGAAACUGGGGGACUUGAGUGCAGAAGAGGAGAGCGGAAUUCCACGUGUAGCGGUGAAAUGCGUAGAGAUGUGGAGGAACACCAGUGGCGAAGGCGGCUCUCUGGUCUGUAACUGACGCUGAGGCGCGAAAGCGUGGGGAGCAAACAGGAUUAGAUACCCUGGUAGUCCACGCCGUAAACGAUGAGUGCUAAGUGUUAGAGGGGUUAUUCCCUUUANUGCUGUANCUAACG
rnacentral:rRNA from 1 species